ACCCAAAUUUCUCGAUUUCUUUGGUUGUACAAAGUGGUAUGGCUCUCUUGCUCAUACCGCUUUACAGCUAAAGGAAUCGAUUGAUUUUGGAAACAUUU
rnacentral:pre_miRNA from 18 species